rnacentral:rRNA from 1 species
GAUGAACGCUGGCGGCGUGCCUAAUACAUGCAAGUCGAGCGAACAGACGAGGAGCUUGCUCCUCUGACGUUAGCGGCGGACGGGUGAGUAACACGUGGAUAACCUACCUAUAAGACUGGGAUAACUUCGGGAAACCGGAGCUAAUACCGGAUAAUAUAUUGAACCGCAUGGUUCAAUAGUGAAAGACGGUUUUGCUGUCACUUAUAGAUGGAUCCGCGCCGCAUUAGCUAGUUGGUAAGGUAACGGCUUACCAAGGCAACGAUGCGUAGCCGAUCUGAGAGGGUGAUCGGCCACACUGGAACUGAGACACGGUCCAGACUCCUACGGGAGGCAGCAGUAGGGAAUCUUCCGCAAUGGGCGAAAGCCUGACGGAGCAACGCCGCGUGAGUGAUGAAGGUCUUCGGAUCGUAAAACUCUGUUAUUAGGGAAGAACAAAUGUGUAAGUAACUAUGCACGUCUUGGCGGUACCUAAUCAGAAAGCCACGGCUAACUACGUG